GACGAACGCUGGCGGCGUGCUUAACACAUGCAAGUCGAACGGAAAGGCCCUGCUUUUGUGGGGUGCUCGAGUGGCGAACGGGUGAGUAACACGUGAGUAACCUGCCCUUGACUUUGGGAUAACUUCAGGAAACUGGGGCUAAUACCGGAUAGGAGCUCCUGCUGCAUGGUGGGGGUUGGAAAGUUUCGGCGGUUGGGGAUGGACUCGCGGCUUAUCAGCUUGUUGGUGGGGUAGUGGCUUACCAAGGCUUUGACGGAUAGCCGGCCUGAGAGGGUGACCGGCCACAUUGGGACUGAGAUACGGCCCAGACUCGUACGGGAGGCAGCAGUGGGGAAUAUUGCACAAUGGGCGGAAGCCUGAUGCAGCAACGCCGCGUGCGGGAUGACGGCCUUCGGGUUGUAAACCGCUUUCGCCUGUGACGAAGCGUGAGUGACGGUAAUGGGUAAAGAAGCACCGGCUAACUACGUG
rnacentral:rRNA from 1 species